GUGCUCACUUCUGCAGCAUAUAUACUAAAAUUGGAAUGAUAAGGAGGAUUAGCAUGGCCCCUGCCCAAGGAUAACAUGCAAAUUCAUGAAGUGUUUCAUAUUUAA